UACGUGGGGGGCAAGCGUUGUCCGGAAUCAUUGGGCGUAAAGCGCGCGUAGGCGGCCCGGUAAGUCCGCUCUGAAAGUCCAGGGCUCAACCCUGGAAAGCGGGUGGAUACUGCCGGGCUAGAGUACGGAAGAGGCGAGUGGAAUUCCUGGUGUAGCGGUGGAAUGCGCAGAUAUCAGGAGGAACACCUAUAGCGAAGGCAGCUCGCUGGGACGUUACUGACGCUGAGGCGCGAAAGCGUGGGGAGCGAACAGG
rnacentral:rRNA from 1 species